CCUACCCUACGGGGGGCAGCAGUGAGGAAUAUUGGUCAAUGGGCUUACGCCUGAACCAGCCAAGUCGCGUGAGGGAAGACUGCCCUAUGGGUUGUAAACCUCUUUUGUCAGGGAGCAAUUGGCGCUACGUGUAGCGUUAUCGAGAGUACCUGAAGAAAAAGCAUCGGCUAACUCCGUGCCAGCAGCCGCGGUAAUACGGAGGAUGCGAGCGUUAUCCGGAUUUAUUGGGUUUAAAGGGUGCGUAGGCGGACGCUUAAGUCAGCGGUAAAAUUGCGGGGCUCAACCUCGUCGAGCCGUUGAAACUG
rnacentral:rRNA from 1 species